AUGGCGAGCUACGGCGACGACGGCGUGGAGCUCACCGAGCUGACGCUGGGUCCUCCCGGCGCCAACGCGCGCAGGGCCAGGCGCGCCAGGAGGAGCGGCCGGUCGUCGCCGUCGUCUUCCUCGAUGGUGCAAGCGUACUACGUGAAGGUGAGCAUGGACGGGACGCCGUACUUGAGGAAGGUGGACGUGGCGGCGUACGGCGACUACCUCGAGCUUGUCGAGGCGCUCAACGACAUGUUCUACUGCUCCUCCAUUGGGCUGAUGGAUGGGUACGGCGAGUGGGAGCACGCCGUCGUGUACGAGGACGGCGACGGCGACUGGAUGCUCGUCGGCGACGUGCCAUGGGAGAUGUUCGUGUCUUCGUGUAAGAGGAUGAGAGUGAUGCGAGCGUGUGAGGCAAGAGGAUUGAGCUCGAACGCGUGACACAAACAACAGCAGGUUGACCAAAAUGACCAGUGCGCUGUAGAUAUCUGAACCUGGACAUCGACUCCUCAAGUGGUGAAAAUGCUGACGAAAAGGAUGACGCAAUUUCUGACCCACCACGGCCAUGCUGUCUGUGCACAGAUGAUUGAUGCAAAACAUCUACACAAAGACCUGCAAAUCAGCAUCUCACUCUAGCCUGGAACUGGAAUAAAUGUUAGUGAAGUAGUUGACACUAAAGAUGUGGUCAGUCAAUCUCCAGCCUGCUGCUUGCUUCUCACAUGAGCCUGAAUCCCUGAUACAUCUGACUUCCUGAGAUCCAAACAUUUUUUUUCAGCUCCCUUUCCCUCCCUGCUGGCCUCUCUUGCUGCUGUUUCGUCUGUCUGUAUGUAUGUAUGCCACCAUCACGUCGCAUGUACAUGGAUCAAGAGUCACAGCAAGCAUCAUGGUGAUCGCCACCAUGAUCCAUGUCUCUGUGUGUUUGUGCGUUGUGCCAGUGCAGAAUCCAGUUCACCUGUCAGAGCAGCGAGCGGCAAGAGCUGUGUUUGGAGGUACGAAUGCGGGCAGAGACACCGGCAUUUUUAACUUCCAAAGCGUGGAAGAAAUCUUCAUGGGAGAUGCUCCAGUAGCGGUAGUAGGCAAAUGUAACAGCAAGUGGCCAUGUUGUGUACUUCUUGUAUGAAGAUUGGAGGACCAUGCAUACCUACAGGUUGGCGUUGGACAAACUGGAAAUGCAGGAUAA